rnacentral:rRNA from 1 species
UACGUAGGGGGCAAGCGUUGUCCGGAUUUAUUGGGCGUAAAGCGCGUGUAGGCGGCCAGGUAGGUCGGUUGUGAAAAUUGGAGGCUCAACCUCCAGACGUCGAUCGAAACCAUCUGGCUAGAGUCCGGAAGAGGAGAAUGGAAUUCCUGGUGUAGCGGUGAAAUGCGCAGAUAUCAGGAAGAACACCGAUGGCGAAGGCAGGUCUCUGGGCCACUACUGACGCUGAGAAGCGAAAGCAUGGGGAGCGAACAGG